UCUGGUGUUGAAAAAUGCAGUUGGUUGCUGCAUCAGCACCAAAGAUGUCAGCUCAGACAAACUGAUAUCACACACCCCUCAAAGAUUCAUGAGGUGAAAAACGAUGAUCUGGGAGUGAAGCAUGCCAGAAUUGUUAGCUGUGGGUAAGAUUAAUUCAACCUGAUCUCAAGCAGAUCUGUGACUUGUUGGGGAAGCAGGCCCAGCUGAGCGGAGAGUUCCACUGGAAACAUCUCAGGCUGAUGCUCACAAGUCCGGGGGCCCUAUGCAGCCAGGAUGCAAUCUACCCAGGUCUCCUUCACUCCGUUGCAGGCCACCACGUACCCUGGGUGCACCACCAGCGGAAGCGGCAAGGAGGCCCCAGAUCGUUGUUGCAGUCUCCUGUGUGCGUGCCUGGUCUUUUCGUCCUUCAUAGUUUCCUGUGUCACUAAAGACCAAUGAUCGCUCACUCUUGUUUCACCGUGGGACCAUCUCAGUCCCUGUGUCACGCUCUCCUGCUGUCUGUUUCUGGACCUGAUCCCUGGCUAUCGGAGUUCUUACCCCGUAUUCACAGUGUGACCUUGUUUACUCUCUGAUGUUCUGUGUUAUCUUAUUUCAUUAAACUUAUUGAACUUG